GUUAGGCAACCAAGUUGAGAAUCUCUGGCAUCUCCAGCUGGAGCCCGGCUUACCCCUGAGGACUGUGAAAUCAACAGAAUUGAAAUAUAGUUUGCUGAUGAUAUUUUGAGAAGUUCAACAACCUGGAUGUCCUACCAAGAUCCUGUUGAUAGUUCUGUGGCUCCUGAAGCCCAGGACCCUUAAUUCAGAAACAGGGAAAACAACUGAGGCCUUCGGUGAUGGGGAGGAAGCCUCUAAUUCCCUAGUUUCACGUUUGAUGAGGUGCCUUCCCACUGAUGAGCACAGCUGGCUGCAUGAUAUCAACAUUGACUUGAACAAAUAAUUCAACCAGAGGAAUAUUAGCAAGUUUUUGACUGUGUGGAUCACACUAAACUGUGGAAAAUUCUUAAAAGAGAUGGGAAUACCAGACCACCUGACCUUCCUCUUGAGAAAUCUGUAUGCAGGUCAAGAAGCAACAGUUAAAACUGGACAUGGAACAACAGACUGGUUCUAAAUAGGAAAAGGAAUAUGUCAAAGCUGUAUAUUGUCACCCUACUUAUUUA
rnacentral:lncRNA from 1 species